GUAGCCUAUGGUUGAUGUAGUGGUUAGGAGUUCGGAGGCUCGACCGUUAAUAAGAAAGGUCAAGAAUCGUAAGGGUAAAAGAAGGAUGAGAAUAGCAAAGCUCAUAGGUAGAGAAAGACUUGUGCACGCCGAGUGUAAACAAAGAAAGGUGCGCAUGCGAAGAACACAUGGAGGUCUGGAAAAUAAGAAGCGCAUGAGUGAGGAUAUGUGAUAUGUGAGAGUUGCGUGAGCAAAGCAAAGUAGAACUCAUGCCAAAGUCAUGGUCUCGUCGCAUGAAGGAGAUCCAUAAGAAAGAAAGAAAGACAAAUGAUAGAAAAAAAGAAAAGUAAAACAGAGAUAGGAAAUAGGAAAUAGGAGAAAAAAGAAAAGACAAAGAGAAAUUGGGUUGAUUAGUAGAAAUGAAAUUGUUCAAUC